ACGUAGGUGGCAAGCGUUGUCCGGAAUUACUGGGUGUAAAGGGAGCGCAGGCGGAUUGGUAAGUUGGAGGUGAAAUUCAUGGGCUCAACCCAUGACCUGCCUUCAAAACUGCCAGUCUUGAGUGGUGUAGAGGUAGGCGGAAUUCCCGGUGUAGCGGUGGAAUGCGUAGAUAUCGGGAGGAACACCAGUGGCGAAGGCGGCCUACUGGGCACUAACUGACGCUGAGGCUCGAAAGCAUGGGUAGCAAACAGG
rnacentral:rRNA from 1 species